UACGUAGGGUGCAAGCGUUAAUCGGAAUUACUGGGCGUAAAGCGUGCGCAGGCGGUGAUGUAAGACAGGUGUGAAAUCCCCGGGCUUAACCUGGGACCUGCAUUUGUGACUGCAUCGCUGGAGUGCGGCAGAGGGGGAUGGAAUUCCGCGUGUAGCAGUGAAAUGCGUAGAUAUGCGGAGGAACACCGAUGGCGAAGGCAAUCCCCUGGGCCUGCACUGACGCUCAUGCACGAAAGCGUGGGGAGCAAACAGG
rnacentral:rRNA from 1 species